GAAGGAUUAGCUUUGCACCGAGGAAGUUAAGAUCUAAUACAAACAAAUAGCUAUAACAACUGCAAAGGGAAUUUACAGCAGGACAGUUUACUCCUUGUCUAGAGCCUACCCUGGGUGGGACAGCAUGUGCAAUCAAAGAAUCAGCUUCCCCUGAGGAAAAAUAUGGAGAUGGAUCUCUCCAGGACACAGCUGAGUCUGAUGGCAGGAUAUGGAAAUCCACAUUCUGCAGCUGUUGCAAGGACUCUUGCAGGCCCAGCCCUCAGCACGUUGA